AAAGCACUUUCAGUCGUGAGGAAGGUGGUGUAGUUAAUAGCUGCAUCAUUUGACGUUAGCGACAGAAGAAGACACCGGCUAACUCCGUGCCAGCAGCCGCGGUAAUACGGAGGGUGCGAGCGUUAAUACGGAAUUACUGGGCGUAAAGCGCAUGCAGGUGGUUUGUUAAGUCAGAUGUGAAAGACCCGGGGCGUCAACCUACGGAAUAAGCAUUUAGUAAACUAGGCAGACUAGAGUACUGUAGAGGGGGGUAGGAAUUUCAGGUGUAGCGGUGAAAAUGCGUAGAGAUCUGAAGGAAUACCGGUGGCGAAGGCGGCCCCCUCGGACAGAUACUGACACUCAGAUGCGAAAGCGUGGGGAGCAAACAGGAUUAGAUACCCUGGUAG
rnacentral:rRNA from 1 species